AGCCAUCAAAACCAACUGGUACUAUUUCUCAUUUCCUGAGAGGGUGUCAUCAGGGAGUUUGACUGAUAAUGUCUGAAUUAGACCAAUAGCUCAUUUAGCAGCCUCUAAAGUCAGUUGUUUAUCCCUAUUGUCUCACCAGUCAGAGUGAAUUGUUUAUUAGGCUAGUGAAAAAUAGCAAAGUAUCCCUAGUUAUUCUAAACUGUUAAAAAGGAAGACUCUUCUCAUGUCUCAUUCUAAUACCUUCUGACCACCUUCUGUAUUUACUGUAUCAGUAAAGUGCAAGAAUGGGAGUUAAGUACUUGAAGAAUCUACAAUUUAAAUAAGAGAUGAGGCUGUCUGAGUAUGCAAUACCCAAUGGCUGGUCUAGCUAAAUUCAGAAAGGUUUGUUGCCAGAAGGCUGUCCAUCAGAUACGUCACUGGAGGUCUCAAAGCAACUGGAUUACAAAGAAGAUUCAUGCUUGUUAACACUAACAUCACAUGAUUCUGUGAAUAAAAAUCCUGAAGAGGGACACUAUAUACAUAUUUAUGUACAUAUACAUAUGUAUUACUUUUCUUCUUAAUGGCUUUUUAUGAUACCGAGUCAUUUUGAAAAUGAUAAUAAAGAAAACUUCAAGAU